AGAGAGGGUGGGCGAUGCCGCCGGCGCCAUUCCCCUCUCCGUGGAAGCGCUGAGGGCGGCCCGGCGGUUCCCAUGGUGACCCGGCUGCCGUCAGGCGCGGCGGCCGCGCUUUGCAGCGAUGCGUCCCGGCUCCGGGACAAGGAGCAGGGAGCCGGUGGUGGAAUUGCCUCUCUGUCCGUGUGCUGAGCUGCGGCUGCAGGGACUGUCAGGCCUUGUUGGCUCUGUUGCCUGGUGUCAUUUCCCUGCCUGAGCUGGCUGUGGGUCGGUGUGGGACGGCGAGGCCGGAGAGAGCGAGCGGAGGAGCCUCGGGCUGGAGAGGGGCAGGAGAAAGGCCCUGUGGGCAAAGGGACCUCCCCGUGUGCCCAGGGCCCUGCGGGGGACAGGAUGGACACUCUGGGGUCACCCUGAGGGAGGGAUGAUCGGUCCUGCCUUGGAAGCAAGAGAAUGUCCUGGUGUCUGGGAAUAUUUUGGCCAUAAAACUGGAGGUGGUGGAAUUGCCUCUCUGUCCGUGUGCUGAGCUGCGGCUGCAGGGACUGUCAGGCCUUGUUGGCUCUGUUGCCUGGUGUCAUUUCCCUGCCUGAGCUGGCUGUGGGUCGGUGUGGGACGGCGAGGCCGGAGAGAGCGAGCGGAGGAGCCUCGGGCUGGAGAGGGGCAGGAGAAAGGCCCUGUGGGCAAAGGGACCUCCCCGUGUGCCCAGGGCCCUGCGGGGGACAGGAUGGACACUCUGGGGUCACCCUGAGGGGAUUUGGGGUUUGUUUAGGUUUUGAAUCCCUCCCAGUGGCCCGGGCCAGAGGGGCUGUGGUUGCCAGCUGCUCCCCGUGUCCGUGCUGAACCAGCAUCCCAGGGGCACAACAGGCGCCGGCGACACUUCCAAAGGAAGAUUUGUCUCUCUGUGGGAAGCCGGGAUUUCCAGGAGCCAGAGACGUUCCUGUCCAGCGUGGUUCACCUCCCGCCCUCCCCGAGCACGGCGCGGGCCACUGCAAGGAAGGAUUCCUUGUUGCCCGUCCCCAGCCGGUCCCAGCCCAGCUGGCCGUGCUCCCUGGGCCUGUUCGUGCAGAGGAGGGAGAGCUGCGCAGAUUUAUUAAGAGUGCAUUUCCUGGCAGUAUUUGUCUGCAGUCUUUCCCUCCUUUGACUCCCAGGGCAGCGUCCGGUUUUCUUAUUUCCUCGUGUGUAGCUGUUUGCAUCCUAGGCAGGACCUGCCUCAUCUGGAAAUAAAGAUGAAAUAUUUUAA